ensembl:snoRNA
AUCCUUUUGUAGUUCAUAAGUGUGAUGAUUGGGGGUUCAUGGUCUUUUGUGAGAUGUGCCUCUCUCAAACCUUGUUACAACAUCGGCAUAUUACCUGUCUAACG